rnacentral:lncRNA from 1 species
AUAUAUGUAUGUAUGUUAUUGAGAGCAUAGGGCUCCUAAUAAUUACUAGCAAAACAUGUUCGUGCGUUGCAACAGGGUAUAUAAUUUAUUAUUUGAUAAUUGUACACUUUUUAUAAAAUUUAAAUGAGUUUAGUCCAACCUUGAAUCAAAUAAAUAUAACCCCACCAAAACAAACAAAAACUACCAAACUAAUAUCGGAAAUCACCUUGAGAAGAAAUAGAAAAAAAUCAUGUCCCAUAAAAAAAUCAGAAAUCUUCAUGUACAGUGGAGGAAAAAGAGUAAAAAAUGAUAUAAAAAUAUGUAUAGAAAUUGAAAGGGGAAGAUAAAAGCAUCACAUGAGGGAACAAUUCCAUCAACACAGCACGUCAGAUCAGUCCACUUUUAUUGUCGCUCAGUGCAAUCCAAAGCAAAACCAGCGGCGCAGUUAGUGACAAAAGCCCACAGCCACAGCCGCCACAUAAUAAUACAAUUAAUAGGUAACAGUUCUCAACAUCCUUUCAUCACAGUAUUUGUUUGAGACGUACAUGAACAAAGCAUAUGUAAUUUCGUAUGAUUAAGAGGAAGUACCUUGUGGCCAGCAUUGAUGCAUCACAAGAGAAGGAACAGCCGAUGAGAGGGCGAUCAUCUCCAAUCUCGCUACACUCCAAGACAAACUCCCCGGC